rnacentral:rRNA from 1 species
AACGAACGCUGGCGGCAUGCCUAACACAUGCAAGUCGAACGAUGGUCUUCGGAUCAUAGUGGCGCACGGGUGCGUAACGCGUGGGAAUCUGCCCUUAGGUUCGGGAUAACAGUUGGAAACGACUGCUAAUACCGGAUGAUAUCGCGAGAUCAAAGAUUUAUCGCCUAGGGAUGAGCCCGCGUCUGAUUAGCUAGUAGGUGAGGUAACGGCCCACCAAGGCUACGAUCAGUAGCUGGUCUGAGAGGAUGAUCAGCCACACUGGAACUGAGACACGGUCCAGACUCCUACGGGAGGCAGCAGUGAGGAAUAUUGGGCAAUGCCCGGAAGGGUGACCCAGCAACGCCGCGUGGAGGAUGAAUGCCGUAAGGUUGUAAACUCCUGUUAGAGGGGAAGAAUAAUUCCGAUCGACUCGGAAAUUGACUGUACCCUCAGAGAAAGCCCCGGCUAACUACGUGCCAGCAGCCGCCGUAA